AGGAGCUUAAACAGGAAGGAGGCCCACAUACAGUUUUCCUUCAGAUCAGUCACAUCUAAAAGUAUGUCUGCUAAAACAUCUAUGUCAGUGAAAGAAUUGCCUCCAUUAUCAACUUCCCCUUACUUUGAUGUGCUGAAGGAAAGUUCUGUUCACUUCCUUCAUUAUGGCAAGGCAGUGACCUUGAAUUUUCAUCUCACUAUUUGGAUUCCCAGGCACUGUGAUAGAGGCUGGCUCUAGAGAACAAGUGCCAGAGUGAAGAGUAUGUGAAAUUGAUCACCUCAAUGGAGGAGGGGCCCCAGGAGUGGAAUCCUGAGAAGAGAAGACUCUGGCUGGAAGAACAGUGAGACUCUCUCAGUCUUGAGAUGUUGAAGAGAGAAGGUGGGAAAAAGACUUUCUCCUGAGGGUUAUCCAUUUUUCCUGCUGGUGACUAGAAAUCUUUCCCCCUCUUCAUACCAAAAGUACAAACUUCCCCUCUUUUAUCUUUUUUUUUUAAAACAGAUGGCACUCAGGUUUACAAGAACCCCAUUUACUAAAUAAAAUCAACAAAAACAAACA
rnacentral:lncRNA from 1 species